UACGAAGGGGGCUAGCGUUGCUCGGAAUCACUGGGCGUAAAGGGUGCGUAGGCGGGUCUUUAAGUCCGGGGUGAAAUCCUGGAGCUCAACUCCAGGACUGCCUUUGAUACUGAGGAUCUUGAGUUCGGGAGAGGUGAGUGGAACUGCGAGUGUAGAGGUGAAAUUCGUAGAUAUUCGCAAGAACACCAGUGGCGAAGGCGGCUCACUGGCCCGAUACUGACGCUGAGGCACGAAAGCGUGGGGAGCAAACAGG
rnacentral:rRNA from 1 species